rnacentral:rRNA from 1 species
GAUGAACGCUGGCGGCGUGCCUAACACAUGCAAGUCGAACGAAGCAUUGGGAGGGAGCCCCCUCGGGGAGGACGUCCCAUUGACUGAGUGGCGGACGGGUGAGUAACGCGUGGGCAACCUGCCCCACACAGGGGGACAACAGCUGGAAACGGCUGCUAAUACCGCAUGAGCGCGCGGCCUCGCAUGAGGCUGCGUGAAAAGCUGCGGCGGUGUGGGAUGGGCCCGCGUCUGAUUAGCUUGUUGGCGGGGCAACGGCCCACCAAGGCGACGAUCAGUAGCCGGCCUGAGAGGGUGGACGGCCACAUUGGGACUGAGACACGGCCCAGACUCCUACGGGAGGCAGCAGUGGGGAAUAUUGCACAAUGGGGGAAACCCUGAUGCAGCGACGCCGCGUGAGCGAAGAAGUACCUCGGUAUGUAAAGCUCUAUCAGCAGGGAAGAAGA